AUCCAGCUAACGAUUCCCAAAUAGGACGAAACGCGUGUCCUGGAU
rfam:Schistosoma mansoni strain Puerto Rico chromosome 3, complete genome